rnacentral:rRNA from 1 species
AAAGAAAGCGUAAUAGCUCGACUGGUCGAGUCGCCGCGCGGAAGAUGUAACGGGGCUAAACCAUGCACCGAAGCUGCGGCAGCGACACUAUGUGUUGUUGGGUAGGGGAGCGUUCUGUAAGCCUGCGAAGGUGUACUGUGAGGUAUGCUGGAGGUAUCAGAAGUGCGAAUGCUGACAUAAGUAACGAUAAUGCGGGUGAAAAACCCGCACGCCGGAAGACCAAGGGUUCCUGUCCAACGUUAAUCGGGG